rnacentral:rRNA from 1 species
UACGUAGGGGGCUAGCGUUGUCCGGAAUCAUUGGGCGUAAAGAGCGUGUAGGCGGCCCGGUAAGUCCGCUGUGAAAGUCGGGGGCUCAACCCUCGAAUGCCGGUGGAUACUGUCGGGCUAGAGUCCGGAAGAGGAGAGUGGAAUUCCUGGUGUAGCGGUGAAAUGCGCAGAUAUCAGGAAGAACACCCGUGGCGAAGGCGGCUCUCUGGGACGGUACUGACGCUGAGGCGCGAAAGCAUGGGGAGCGAACGGG